CUAAACUAAAGCCGAACGCCUCAGAGCUGUCGAACGCUUCCGAGCUAAGAAGGCCCAUUACGAAAGUAGCUUUAUCUGACCUGACCCCACGAAAGCUGUGAAACAAACUGGGAUUAGAUACCCCACUAUGCUCAGCCCUAAACUUUGAUAGGUCACUACACCCCCUAUCCGCCCGGGUACUACGAGCACGAGCUUGAAACCCAAAGGACUUGGCGGUGCUUCACAUCCGUCUAGAGGAGCCUGUUCUAGAACCGAUAACCCCCGUUAAACCUCACCCUCCCUUGUUAGCACCGCCUAUAUACCGCCGUCGUCAGCCUACCCUGUGAAGGCCCAGAAGUGAGCAAGAUUGGUAAAGCCCAAAACGUCAGGUCGAGGUGUAGUGUAUGAGAGGGAAAGAAAUGGGCUACAUUUCCUACUCAGGAAAUACGAACAAUGAACUGACCUAAGCAUUAGAAGGUGGAUUUAGCAGUAAGCAGGAAAACAGAGUGUUCCGCUGAAAAAUGGCCAUAAAGCACGCACACACCGCCCGUCACUCUCCCCAAGCUACCUAAAAAAUUGCACCUGCAAAGGGGAGGCAAGUCGUAACGUGGUAAGCGUACCGGAAGGUGCGCUUGGAAUAAACAGAGUGUAGCUAGA
rnacentral:rRNA from 1 species